rnacentral:lncRNA from 1 species
UCAUAAACAUUUCAUAUAACUAUGAGUCAAGAAUGUCACAUAAGUAUGAGUUCUAAGAACUCGUACUUAAUCCUAUAUUCUCUACCUAUGACCUAUUUAUCUGUAUAUAACAACUAGCGUGACACAACAUUUCAAUUAUUACCAAUGCCACCAACUAAGUAGUUUUUACACCAAGUACAAUUCCCCGCCCAUACAAGAAAUCAUACAACUCAGUUGCCGACACGAGUCCUCAUUGAAAUCCCCACCUAAUACUUAACCCCCUUCUCAAUACGAAUUUCAUUUAAUCCGUAUUCAUAAUCCUUUUCUGAAUCUGUACCAUUCACACAGCAAUCAUGCUUUAAACUUUUCAAUCAUCCGAUUGAUUCUUUCUGGUUGUCAUAACUUUAACAGAUCACGGGGUGAUCUCAUCGUAUAUAUUACGAUUCAAU